rnacentral:rRNA from 1 species
GUGGAGUGAUCUGUCUGCUUAAUUGCGUUUCACUAAGGGCCCAUAAAUUCAAGGUAUGUUAGCAAAUGCUGCUCUAUUGACCCCUAAUAGGCUUAACUGUCUUUAGCGCGUGUCUCUACGAGUUCUUUAAAGCACUGCGCAUGCUGUUGGGUCCUGAAAGCAACGAACGUGACCGCAACGUCUUGUUGCCUCUCUAUAAUAUCUUCUUAUUUUUAAUAAGAGUAUUUACCUGAGGCUAUUUUAAAACUAGACGGACCGCUGUUUCUUUCUUAAACCAGAGGAAGGUUGCGGCAAUAACAGGUCUGUGAUGCCCUUAGAUGUUCCGGGCUGCACACGUGCUACAAUGAUCAGUACAGUGAGCAUCUCAAUUUUAUAACACCGUAUUAAGCGCUUGGGUCGUAAUUGUUAGGCCUUUUAGGUUUUUUCAAUUGCGUUUCUCCAAUGCGCACGGUAAAGCCUGCUUCGAGAGUAAGUGGGUAAUCCAUUGGAAGUAAUGAUUUCCUUAUUUUUAUAAACAGCACACCAAUAUACGGCAUUCAUUCCCGAGACGGCUUAGUUCCGACUUUGUGCGAAUGUAAUGUAUUCUUAUCCGUAUGUGCGAUCGUCAAUUCAUGGUGGGGACAGACC